CCCUUAGAUGUCCUGGGCCGCACGCGUGCUACACUGAUGCAUACAGCGAGUACUUUCCAGCUCCGCGAGGCAGCUGGUAAUCAGCAAUAUGCAUCGUGCUGGGGAUAGAUCUUUGGAAUUAUAGAUCUUGAACGAGGAAUUCCUAGUAAGCGCAAGUCAUUAGCUUGCGCUGAUUAAGUCCCUGCCCUUUGCACACACCGCCCGUCGCUCCUACCGAUUUCGAGUGAUUCGGUGAACCUUUUGGACAGCGUCUGUCCUCGUGUCAGAUGCUGAAAGUCAAGUAAACCAUAUCACUUAGAGGAAGGAGAAGUCGUAACA
rnacentral:rRNA from 1 species